rnacentral:rRNA from 1 species
UACGGAAGGUGCGAGCGUUAAUCGGAAUUACUGGGCGUAAAGCGCGCGUAGGUGGUUUGUUAAGUCAGAUGUGAAAGCCCCGGGCUCAACCUGGGAACUGCAUUUGAUACUGGCAGACUAGAGUUUGGUAGAGGGUAGUGGAAUUCCAGGUGUAGCGGUGAAAUGCGUAGAUAUCUGGAGGAACAUCAGUGGCGAAGGCGGCUACCUGGACCAAAACUGACGCUGAGGUGCGAAAGCGUGGGGAGCAAACAGG